UACGGAGGGGACUAGCGUUGUUCGGAAUUACUGGGCGUAAAGCGCACGUAGGCGGAUUUGUUAGUCAGGGGUGAAAUCCCGAGGCUCAACCUCGGAACUGCCUUUGAUACUGCAAAUCUCGAGUCCGGAAGAGGUGAGUGGAAUUCCUAGUGUAGAGGUGAAAUUCGUAGAUAUUAGGAAGAACACCGGUGGCGAAGGCGGGUCUCUGGGCCGAUACUGACGCUGAGGAGCGAAAGCAUGGGUAGCGAACAGG
rnacentral:rRNA from 1 species